AACGAACGCUGGCGGCAUGCCUAACACAUGCAAGUCGAACGAGACCUUCGGGUCUAGUGGCGCACGGGUGCGUAACGCGUGGGAACCUGCCCUUAGGUUCGGAAUAACUCCCCGAAAGGGGUGCUAAUACCGGAUAAUGUCUUCGGACCAAAGAUUUAUCGCCUUUGGAUGGGCCCGCGUUGGAUUAGCUAGUUGGUAGGGUAAAAGCCUACCAAGGCGACGAUCCAUAGCUGGUCUGAGAGGAUGAUCAGCCACACUGGGACUGAGACACGACCCAGACUCCUACGGGAGGCAGCAGUGGGGAAUAUUGGACAAUGGGCGAAAGCCUGAUCCAGCAAUGCCGCGUGAGUGAUGAAGGCCUUAGGGUUGUAAAGCUCUUUUACCCGGGAUGAUAAUGACAGUACCGGGAGAAUAAGCGCCGGCUAACUCCGUG
rnacentral:rRNA from 1 species